rnacentral:lncRNA from 1 species
UUUCAUGUGUUUAGCAAAUUGUAUCUUAUAUCUUGGGAAUGGAACUCAAGAAGGUGGACUUCAGAAAAUCGAAUAACCCCAUUAAAAAUGGGGCUCAGAACUGAACAAAGAAUUCUCACCUGAGGAAUACCGAAUGGCAGAGAAGCACCUGAAAAAAUGUUCAACAUCCUUAAUCAUCAGGGAAAUGCAAAUCAAAACAACCCUGAGAUUCCACCUCACACCAGUCAGAAUGGCUAAGAUCAAAAAUUCAGGUGACAGCAGAUGCUGGCGUGGAUGUGGAGAAAGAGGAACACACAUCCACUCUGACUCCAUCUACUCAAUUGUCCACUGAAUCUGUUACCUCUACAGAUAUCUCAGCAUGUUCCAUAAAGAUAUUCCUAUGCCCCCCUUCCUGCUCUCUGCUUACUAUACUUUUUAAGACCUGGCUCUACUUUUAUCUUUGAACUCAUCUCCCACCUCUAACUAUGGUGGCCCUUUAAAACCAUAAGACCCCUCCCUUCUGACUCACCAAAUUCCUUGUGGUUAUGGUCCUUUGCCCAUCCAUCCUUUGCAUAACAUAUAUCUUCUUUCUGGACUGUUCUCCCCCACACCUUCAUGGUCUUGUCCAUGCUUACAUAGCCUCUGGCUCAUCCCACUCUCAUUGCUAGGCCUUCUUGACAUAGGAAUGUCCAUCGCUGUCGAUGGCUCCUUCUUUUUCAGGUUUCAUUAUCUGACACUUCCUACAUUUAUCUGGCUGCUGGAUGGUACUCUUCCCCUAAUGAUCCUAACUUGUUUUAGUCUCAAUUUAGUUCCAAAAUGGCAUAUAUUCAGCCUCUAGUGGAUACCCCAAUAUAUGAUAUGGUGAAAGCAAAGCAAUCUAAAGGAAAUGAAAAUCUCUAUGCCUAAAGGCCUUAGCUAUUAGAAAGUUACUUUCCUUUAAAUAUAAUUGUCACUAAUUUUUUUUAAAAGAAAAAUAUCAGGAACUGAAAUAUAUAAGCAAAAGAAUUGUAGGAAAAGAAAGAAAGAAAGAAAGAAAGAAAGAAAGAAAGAAAGAAAGGAAAGAAAAGCCUAGACUAAGCAUUAGCAUUAUGAGAUAAAAAAUGUUCCAAAUACGCCCUCGAGUUCAUUUUGUAUUGGCCAUCUAAAGCUGAGCACUGGGCCUGCAUAAGUGGUUUGUGUACCCAGUGAGACACUGUCUGGAGCCCUUAUCUGUUGGAGAGAACUGUAUGGUUCUUGGGCUUCUCCUUAAGGUCGUUAUUUUGUUUGUUUGUUUUGUUUUUGUUUGUUUGUUUUAUAUUAUUAUGAUUUGUUUUUAUUUUCCUCAUUUCAUUUUAUUAUUAUUUUCUUUUUCUUUUUAGAUGCAUUUGUUGAUUUAUUUGUUUGUUUGUUCCCUAAUGAAAGAGAGCGGGAAAAUGGUGUAGAUUUGGAUGGGUGGGAGAUGGAGAAGAUCUGUAAGUCCUAGGUAGAGGGGUUAGGGGCAAAGAAGCCAUAAUGAGAAUGUCUUGAAAAAUAACAAAUGAACAAAAACUAUUUCAAAUAAAAGG